UACGUAGGGUGCAAGCGUUAAUCGGAAUUACUGGGCGUAAAGGGCGCGUAGGCGGCCUGCUAUGUCGAACGUGAAAUCCCCGGGCUCAACCCGGGAACUGCGUCCGAAACUGGCAGGCUUGAAUCCGGGAGAGGGAUGUGGAAUUCCAGGUGUAGCGGUGAAAUGCGUAGAUAUCUGGAGGAACACCGGUGGCGAAGGCGGCAUUCUGGACUGCAACUGACACUGAAAAACGAAAGCCAGGGGAGCAAACGGG
rnacentral:rRNA from 1 species